rnacentral:lncRNA from 1 species
CAUUUAGUAAUUUAGACUUUGAAGCCAUUGGAAGAAUCUUAAUUAAACCUUUUUUAGGCAUGAAAAAAUAGCUAUUACAGUGCUUGCAAAACCUAUCUUUCGCUUGGCUCAUGCGUUAUUAGGAUGAUGCUUAAAUUAUUAUUUUUUAAUGUAACUGUGUCUCCUUUAUUAAGAAAUGUUGACUAGACAAGUGAUCUGUCCAAAUUUAAAACUAGAAAUAGAACCUUUAUCUCCCACCCUGUCUGAAUUAUUCUUUCCAUAUGUAGCUGCUUAGUUGUGUCUUUACCACUAAUUAACCAUGUGAACUCUAAGCAAGUUAUUUUACUUUUCUUCAUCUUUUUAUCUUUUGUAAAAUUAGGGGGUUAUUAUGAAUCAUUUCUAACAUCUCUGCUAAUGCCCCAGAUACUGUAAAUGACCCAGAAUGUAAUUGCGGGCAGUGUUAACUUAGCUUCCUAGAAGAUGGGGGAUAUGACUGGGCCUUGAAUAAAAUCCAAGAUUUGGCAGAGUAGAGAGGGAAAGAAUUCAUGAGAUGGGGAGCAGUAGAACAAAGGCUUAGGUGUGAAUAUGUGGCUGUAGUAAAGAGAAAUGGCCUGAUUAUAGCAAUUAUAUGAGGUUUAGUAGAACCAUUUAAGAAAGGUAAAGCCACUUCAUAGAAAUUAUUUUAUCCCUGGUACUUGCCUUCUUGAACUAUUAGAGAAGUGAUACUUUGGACCUGUUAGAGGAUCCAAUUCUAAUAUUAAGAUAGUUUUCCCCUCAUUUUAAUUAUAAUUGGGAAAUAAGGUUUAUUGGAAAGCAGACUCACCAACAGUUUUAGACAGUUGUGCAGGACAUUAAGUUAGUUGCUUUACAUUUAUAAGUAAAUUAUUUCAAAUUUAUAAGCAAAUUAUUGAAAUACAGAAUGGACUACAGUUACUACUGUUCUUUAUACGGCAUUUCUAACUUGUGCUUGACACUGGCCACUGCCUAGAAUCUUUCAUUGUUCCCGGGUGGGGUUAGGAAAAAGAUGCUGAUUUUGGAAGGCAGGGGUAGAUUGAUAGAACUCUUUUAAUUAGGAAUAAAAGAUAUUGGACU